GGCGGCCCCCUGCACCGCUGUCUUCACAUGACCUUAUCCUCUCGCUCAGUCGUCUUCCCCAAUCCCCCUCCCAUCGUGUUGCCAUGUCCUUGCGUUGUUUGCCACAAUUUAUCUCACUCAUUGCCACUCCUCCACAGCACUGCGCCUAAUAGGCUCCCCUCUCUUCUUGCCCUUUCUUGCCCCAGCCGCUGGAGCUCGACAUGCCCUGCUGCGAGGCGACGGCAUCAUGGUUGCGGGGCGAUGGCAGCUUCCGGCGACGCGCUGCUCUCCCUUCUCUAUCCAGAAAGCCCACAAACGGCUUGCCGUCGCCCCGCCACGCCUAGAGUGCGCGACCAGAGCCAGCAGCAUCGCCACCAGGAAUGAGCGCCACGGAGGCCAAGCUUUCGACCCGGCAAAUCCACUGCUGCUCCGCCGCAUCGUCGGCUAGGCCGCCGCGCCACCAUCGGAGCGUCAUGGCCGCGGGCACCUUCAUCCGUUGCCACACGCCGCCUGGGCUUGCCCACGUUCCGAUCCAGCCGGCAAACGGACGGAUCCGUUUCCCCCUUGUCCGUCCCAGGCCUUUCUACCUCGCUGGAGUCGUCAAGGCGCCGACACUCUCCACCAAGCCAACUGCAUCGCGCCCCUGCUCCGUCUCGGGAGGAGCAGCGAGCCAGCGCCCGCCUCUGCAUCGAGCACUGCUCAAUCCGACCGCAUCGCCCAAGGCCCACUCCGCCGUUGCUGCCUUGCUCCGCCCUCGCAGUCCUCCCGCCGGUGAGCAGCACCUGUAGCACGUCGCCCCGUCUCUCUUAUUUCUUCUCCUUCCUCUCACCUUUACUCAAAGCUCUCUCCCGCUGCACACCACAUGAGGUCGCCGCCGACAUGAACACCGAAGAGGAGGCAGGCGGCCUGAGGGGAGAUCGCCGGCGUGGCCCUCGUCGGCGGCAGUCUCCGGCGGGAGGCUCGGAAUCGGGCGGUCGGGCGCAGUCGUCUUUGGUGGGUGGCGGCGCACAGGGGAAAUUGGAAGUGGAUCACCUAGCAAACUGUUGGAAAUAUGCCCUAGAGACAUUAAUAAAUAAGUUAUCAUUAUUAUAUUUCUUUAUUCAUGAUAAUCGUUUAUUAUCCAUGCUAUAAUUGUAUUGAUAGGAAACUCAGAUACAUGUGUGGGUACAAAGACAACACCAUGUCCCUAGUAAGCCUUUAGUUGACUAGCUCGUUGAUCAAUAGAUGGUUACGGUUUUCAGACUAUGGACAUUGGAUGUCGUUGAUAAUGAGAUCACAUCAUUAGGAGAAUGAUGUGAUGAACAAGACCCAAUCCUAAGUCUAGCACAAAGAUCGUGUAGUUCGUAUGUUAAAGCUUUUCUAAUGUCAAGUAUCAUUUCCUUAGACCAUGAGAUUGUGCAACUCCC
rnacentral:rRNA from 1 species